rnacentral:rRNA from 1 species
AGAAUCAACGCUGGCGGCGUGCCUAACACAUGCAAGUCGAACGCGAAAGUCUCCUUCGGGAGAUGAGUAGAGUGGCGUACGGGUGAGUAACACGUGGGUAAUCUGCCUCGAGGUGGGGAAUAACGGCCCGAAAGGGUCGCUAAUACCGCAUAACACAGCGGCACCGCAUGGUGACAGUUGUUAAAGGGGGGGAUCUCGCAAGAGACCUCUCGCCGCGAGAGGAGCCCGCGCCCGAUUUAGCUUGUUGGCGAGGUAAGAGCUCACCAAGGCGACGAUCGGUA